GGAGUGCAGGGGAGGGCAGGCAAGGGCAGACAGGAUGGCUGUGAGCGGGCAGAACAGCCCCUGGCUGGACAGACCCCAUUCAGCUGGACCCUUGAGCUGGAGUCCCACAGUGCGCUCCCACCCCACACGGCCAUUCCACUGCAGGCUUGGGAUAGUAGCCCCAUCAAGCCCAUACCUGAGGCAGACCACGCUGUGUGAUCCUCCAAGAAGGCAAAUAAUUUCUUCUGUCAAUGGCUAUGAUUCCCCGGAAGAUAUUGAUGCAUUUGGGAGUAUAAUUUGGCAGAGGAAGGAGAUAACCUGAAACCACAGGCUGCCCUAAACACUCUAUUAUGAACAAAGAGAAAACAGCUGAAUUGAGUUGGAGGAAAGCCUUGCUGAAUGAUAAAUUGCCAGACCCUUCGAGGCUCAGGAGGGUUCAGCCCAUUCACCCCAGCUGCAUUUUUAUGAAUACUUGAGGAAAGAACUUUGAAACUGAAAGACUCUGACUCAUGGUUUGACUGUCUGCAUUGGUUCCCAAAGGUGGCCUAAGUCUUAAGAAUCACAGCUGGGAAAUUUGCUGUGUGCAGAUCCCUAGGCCCGGGCCCUUCAUGAUGGUCUGCUGAUCCUCAUGCAAAAUUGAAUCAUCCAAAAACAUUGCCAAUACUUGUGUUCCAACUUAAGCUAUGCAUUUAAUUUAAGAGUCAUGAUUCUAGAAAUUUCUCUUCUGACCAAGGAAGGCUAUUGUGAGUGCAAGAGAAGGCUUUGAGUCCACCUUGCAAGGCUAUGUGUCCUUUUAAGUUGUUUGUUCUUUGAGUUUGGGUUCUAGGGGCAUUUGUCUUAGUUUCUUCUUUCCACCAUCUUGGAAGUCUCUUGAGAGACGUUUCUACUCACCCUCCAGGUCCUUGGUCAUUAGUGAGCAUGUACACUAUGUUUAAAAGACAGAAUCAAUGGCCAAAGAGAAAUCUAGCAGAUGAAAAACAGAUAAAUCUACCACAGCAAUUGAUAUGAAUGUUACAGAAGCCCUUCACUUUAAAGGAAACUUUUCAGCAAAUGGGGAGAAGGUGCAGUGAUGUCAAAAGUAGCGGAAUUCAUCCUCUACAGAGAAUUAAGCCCUUCACAUGCACAAGGCUGCCUGCCACUCAUGGGCAUAGCUGGUGCUUGUUCUUAAUCUCUUCUACUAUCUGCUCUUUGGGUUCAAACUUGACCUGAGCCCUAAUAACCAGGAGCCAUCACUUCAAAUUUGCAGAUAAAUGAUAUUAAUGUGUUUAAGACAUUCUAGAAAAACAAAAAUAAUAAAAUAUUUGUGGUUUUGAUAGAGGGAAACAGAAGAAACAUGAAUGUUACUGUGCUGAGGGUUCUUCAAGGUGAAUGGCUUGUGAGGAGAUAUCUUACCUUAUUUUUGUGUAUAUAGAAAAUGGCAAAGAAUGAAACACUGUAGAGGGUGAAAAAGACAUUGAAUUACUUCCUCACUACUCCUAGACACCAAACAAGCUUUCUGCUGCUUGCUAGAAUUUUCUGUGCUUUAAAAAUGAUUUUGAAGAUAACAUUCACAAUAUCUUCAAAAAAUGCCUAUAAAUAAAUCUAACUAAGGGGUGAAAAGUGCCUACAGUGAAAACUUUAAGAUACUAAGUAAACCAAGGAAGGUAUUAGAAGAUCUUCCAAGCUCAU